rnacentral:misc_RNA from 1 species
GCAUUUUUCUAUUUCUUGGCUCUUGCCAGUGGGAUAGCACUAACCCCUUAUAAGUACACAUGCUAGGGUUAGGGUUAAGUCACAAUACACACAAAGGUGUACAGCUUUUUUUCCUUCUUGCUCAAUCAACCCAAAAGCUGGUUCUUUUCCUUAUUCCUCAUUCCUGUGCUUGAAUGAGUAAAUUCAUCACCAGGAACCCCCUCAACUCAUUUCCAUUGACAAGUUCGGAAGAUUGUUUAGGGUUUUGAAAUAAUGAAGAAACGCCAAGUGGUAGUCAAAAGAGAUAAUGGGUCUGGAAGAUCUUCUACUACUUCAUCUUCAGUGGUGAGAAACGUGAGAUAUGGAGAGUGCCAAAAGAAUCAUGCGGCCAAUAUCGGGGGAUACACUGUGGAUGGUUGCAGGGAAUUCAUGGCAAGUGGAGAGGAAGGUACUACCGGAGCCCUUAUGUGUGCUGCUUGCGGCUGCCACAGGAAUUUCCACAGAAGGGAAGUGGAUACUGAGGUAGUUUGUGAGUAUUCUCCGCCUAAUUCUAGUCGAAGAUAGAUUUAUAACACACAUGUAGAGUGAAGAAUUAUAUAUUUAUGAUAUGAAUUUGACUGAUUGUUGUGUGAAAAUGGGAAACACAAAUUAAUCUUCAAGCAGUGUGAAUUUUCUUUCAAAAUUUGUUCAAGAUUGUAUUACUCUUCAACAAAAAUUGAGAGAUUUUCUUUUCUUUUUCUACUAAAA